UGCGGAUCUGGGUGUCGAAGCAUUUUGUACAGUCGAAAUCAGAAGCUUCUAGAAGAGGCUUCGCAUGCUGCCUCACUCGUGCUCCGGGCUGCAUGGCGGGGCGCUUUCGGUGCCCUGGCCUGGAGCCCCUAACCUGGAUGUUACUGCAACUGGGUCUCCAAUCAGUGUGUGGUCUCAGGACGUUCCCUCCCUCUGCGCCUCAGCCGCUCCCCGACUCCGGCUCUCUCCCACAGCGCGGGGUCUGGGACGGGCUUCCCAUUCUACGCAGGGAGCUGCUCUCCCGUAGACUGACCCCAGGUCUUCAGUCCUUUCUCCAAAACCUCACAGGCUCCAAAAUUCAAAGUCCCCAGGACUUCAGAAAGGGACAGCGUGCCCGUCACGUCUACCGCGUAGCCCCGGCUACAUUCUCGGCAGCUCCCUGCCACGGGGCAUUAGCCUCCCAGCAAAGCCGGCGAACAGGACGAUGCAUGUGAGAUGGGGUCGAGGCGACUCGGCUCAGAUCAGAAAGAACGUCAGUCCCGCUGCUCCCGAUUUGAGGCUGCUGCAGACGGGGCUGGUCUCAGCGGCA